rnacentral:rRNA from 1 species
CCUACGGGAGGCAGCAGUGGGGAAUAUUGGGCAAUGGACGCAAGUCUGACCCAGCAACGCCGCGUGAAGGAAGAAGGCUUUCGGGUUGUAAACUUCUUUUAAGGGGGAAGAGCAGAAGACGGUACCCCUUGAAUAAGCCACGGCUAACUACGUGCCAGCAGCCGCGGUCAUACGUAGGUGGCAAGCGUUGUCCGGAUUUACUGGGUUUAAAGGGCGUGCAGCCGGAGAGACAAGUCAGAUGUGAAAUCCACGGGCUCAACCCGUGAACUGCAUUUGAAACUGUUUGCCUUGAGUGUCGGAGAGGUAAGCGGAAUUCCUGGUGUAGCGGUGAAAUGCGUAGAUAUAAGGAAGAACACCAGUGGCGAAGGCGGAUUACUGGACGAUAACUGACGGUGAGGCGCGAAAGCGUGGGGAGCAAACAGGAUUAGAUACCCUAGUAGUC